CCCCGCGCAGCGCACGGGACACCCGCCGCCCCCAGCCACACCGCACGGCCACGCGCCCCAGCCCACGCUUCCGUCUCACUCCACUCCGCAGCUUUUUUCCAACCGCCGCCCACGCGAAUCCCGACGCCGCCGCCUCGGGGCCCACCGCUCACUCUACCCUCCUCCCCAGCUUCCUAUGGCGUGCUCGGCGGCGCCGGGCGCCGAGGCGACCGCUCUCCUGUGCCGCCGCCCCGCACCAUCCUCGAUCUCGGGGCGCAACCGCCUUGCGGUGUCCCGUCGGCCUCGACACCGCAAUCUCAGGACUGGCGCGCAACCUCCUCAGCAGAGCACACCUAGUGCUAACUACCGUAACAGGGUUAAUAUUCAGAGAGAUAGAGCAGGAGCUUCCAGUGAUGAUGAACACCAACAGAAGUCUGAAGAUGAAAAUGGCCUACCAAACAUUCAACUGGAAGAUUUGGUUGAAAUGAUACAAAACACUGAGAAGAAUAUAUUGCUUCUGAAUCAAGCUCGUCUUCAGGCAUUGGAACGUGCUGACAAAAUUAUUAAAGAGAAGGAAGCUUUGCAACAAGAGAUAAACAAUUUAGAGAUAAAAUUAUCAGAAACGGGUGCACAAUCUGAGCUUUCUAGCAAAGGAAUGUCUGAUGCAGAGGCUCUGGAGUUUGAUGUACUAAAGGAAGAGAAUAUGCUACUGAAGGAUGACAUAACUUUUUUUAAAGAAAAGCUUAUUGAGAUAACUGAGACAGAAGAGAGUUUAUUCAAGCUGGAGAAAGAGCGUGCUCUUUUAGAUGCUUCCCUUAGGGAGCUGGAGUGUGCAUUCAUAGCUGCCCAAUCUGAUAUGUUGAAACUUGGUCCUAUGCAACAUGAUGCCUGGUGGGAGAAAGUAGAAAAUUUGGAAGAAUUGCUUGAGUCCACAGCAAACCAAGUUGAGCAUGCUGCUCUGAUACUAGAUGGCUAUCACGACUUCCAGGAUAAGGUUGACAAACUAGAAGCAUCAUUAGGAGCAACAAACAUAUCAGAGUUCUGUCUUUAUUUGGUUGAUCUUUUGAAGAAAAGGGUAAAAUCAAUAGAAGAACGCUUCCAAGCUUGUAAUCGUGAAAUGCAUUCUCAAAUUGAACUUUAUGAACACUCAAUAGUGGAGUUUCAUGAUACUCUCAGUAAACUAAUUAAGGAAAGUGAGAAGAAGUCAAUGGAGCAUUAUGCAGAAGGCAUGCCAUCAGAGUUCUGGAGUAGGAUCUCUCUUCUGAUUGAUGGGUGGUCACUUGAGAAGAAAAUAGCCAACAAUGAUGCAAAUAUACUAAGAGAAAUGGCUUGGAAAAGGGAUAAUCGCCUUCGGGAAGCAUACUUGUCAUCUAGAGGAAAGUCAGAGAGGGAACUGAUAGAUAGUUUUCUAAAGAUGGCACUACCAGGAACUAGUUCUGGUUUGCACAUUGUCCAUAUAGCAGCAGAGAUGGCUCCUGUUGCAAAGGUUGGUGGUCUGGCAGAUGUGAUCGCUGGUCUUGGGAAGGCACUUCAGAAAAAGGGGAACCUAGUUGAGAUAAUUCUUCCCAAAUAUGACUGCAUGCAGCAUAACCAAAUUAAUAAUCUUAAGGUUCUAGACGUUGUGGUGCAGUCCUACUUUGAGGGGAAUAUGUUUGCCAACAAAAUAUGGACCGGGACUGUUGAAGGCCUUCCUGUCUACUUUAUUGAGCCGCAGCAUCCAGGCAAGUUCUUCUGGAGGGCACAAUACUAUGGGGAGCAUGAUGACUUCAAACGUUUUUCCUACUUUAGCCGUGUGGCACUGGAAUUGCUUUACCAAUCUGGGAAGAAAGUUGACAUAAUUCACUGUCAUGACUGGCAGACUGCAUUUGUUGCACCUCUUUAUUGGGAUGUAUAUGCAAAUCUGGGCUUCAACUCAGCUAGAAUUUGUUUUACCUGUCACAAUUUUGAAUAUCAAGGAACGGCUCCAGCCCAGGAUUUAGCAUACUGUGGCCUUGAUGUUGAGCACCUGGAUAGAGCAGACAGAAUGCGGGAUAAUUCACAUGGCAGAAUAAAUGUCGUUAAGGGUGCAAUUGUGUAUUCCAACAUUGUCACAACUGUAUCACCAACAUAUGCUCAAGAGGUGCGCUCAGAGGGUGGGCGUGGGCUCCAAGAUACACUUAAAAUACAUUCCAAGAAAUUUGUUGGAAUACUUAAUGGCAUCGACACAGAUACAUGGAAUCCUUCUACAGAUAGGUUUCUCAAGGUCCAAUACAGUGCUAAUGAUCUAUAUGGAAAAUCAGCAAACAAAGCAGCUCUCAGGAAGCAGCUCAAGAUGUCUUCUGCAAAUGCUUCCCAACCACUCGUCGGUUGCAUUACAAGGCUUGUUCCUCAAAAGGGUGUACAUCUCAUCAGGCAUGCAAUAUAUAAAACAGCUGAGUUAGGUGGACAGUUCAUUCUCCUAGGUUCCAGUCCAGUACCAAACAUUCAGAGGGAGUUUGAGGGAUUGCAGACCAAUUUCAGAACAAUAACAAUAUCAGGCUGCUUUUGAAGUAUGAUGAUGCUCUAUCGCAUAUGAUUUUUGCAGCAUCAGAUAUGUUCAUUGUUCCUUCUAUGUUUGAGCCAUGUGGCCUCACUCAGAUGAUAGCUAUGCGAUAUGGUUCUGUGCCAGUUGUUCGGAAAACUGGUGGUCUGAAUGACAGUGUCUUCGAUUUCGACGAUGAAACGAUACCCAUGGAACUGCGAAAUGGUUUCACAUUUUUGAAGGCUGAUGAGCAGGGCUUUGAUAGUGCAUUGGAAAGAGCUUUCAACUACUACCAUAGAAAACCUGAAGUCUGGAAACAGUUAGUGCAGAAAGACAUGAAGAUAGAUUUCAGCUGGGAUACUUCAGCCUCCCAAUACGAAGACAUCUACCAGAGAGCAGCUGCUCGAGCAAGGGCGGCAACAUAAACAGCAGAGAUUGUUCCUGAUGCCUCCAUGGACUCUCCCGGAUGCUGCUUUAACGUAUGGUAAAUGCAGUUCUAUCAGCUCCCUGAACUGAGCAUAUUCGCUGGAGAAGCGAAGAAACACAUUGUGCAUCGCUACCUACUUGGGUGUACAAAUGGCGGCGUGGCGUCACGCGCAGUUCCCGACGGAUCAAAAGAGAUAUAUACAGGAAAAUACAGAAAGGGUAUUUUUCGAAGCACACAUCAUCAUGAGAUCAGGAUGCUUGGAGACGCAGCUACUGUUGGGUGCAGAAGCACACAUGAGAUUAGGAUGCCAGUGCGAACAAAUAUCCAGUUAUACACGUGGUUGUGUAGCUCUAUGAAGCUGUUAAUUGAGAGAUUAUAGGGUUCAUGUAAUGUUUUUUGGCAUAAACUGGUGCAAAUUAUACUCUUAUCUUUGGAAAGUCGGUCGUCUCAACAACAUGUUUGCUUCAAUCGUUUAAGACAAGAGAAGUGACAAAGGAUAUAGAAUAUAGGGCCAGUUUGGAGAAGUUAAAGUUGGACGUUAAACUUUACCAUAUAUUAGUAUAUGCUAAAGUUUUUAA